AACAGUGUACGUCUUAAAGGUCUGAGAUUUACAGUGGUUUGAAAGGUCACCGUCUGCAUCUCACAGGCAGCUGGGACUUGUAAAACGAUCCCUCUUAUCAAAUGUUAAUGCUGCCAGACCCACAUUGCUUCAGGGACAAGCGGAGAAUAGCCUCUGUCUGUGAGGUCUUAAGGUCCCACAGAAACAAGUAAUUCAAUUUGCAUGCAAAAACCAGACGCUAAUUGCAACUUGACUCUCAGAAACUCAAAUGGAGCUCCUUUGUACUCUCCCCAUCGCAAGGGAGAAUGUAAUAUCUCGGUAGGAAGUGUCUUUUAGUGUGACUGUUGACCAACCUAAAGGUUUUUUGCAACUGUUCCUGCGUCUAUAUUGCAGCUUGACACUUAGCCAGCCAGAAGAGGAGGCUUGGGACAACGAGUUUCUCUCUGUCAGAAAGAAUUUUGAACACACCACUAGUCUUACAGCUAUGGGGGCGGUGGUGGCUCAAUGGUUAAGGCUCCGUGUUACUGAUCAGAAGGUCCUUAUUCAAGCCCCAGCACCCCAAGCAUGGCCCUCAAGCAUGGCGUCUCUGCUACAGGUGUGCCAUUUCAUGGCUGACCCUGCACUAUUACCCCAAUUUCCUAACAAGCUGGGUCAUGCUGAAUCUGGAUUCUAUCCUGGGAACACUGGCAUGACAUGGGACUGCAUUUGUCAGUAUAAAUAUUAUGUAAUUGAUUUAGAACACCAUUAAUGAUGUAUGUUAUAGAAGGAUUGAUAACAUUUGUAGCUUCUGGCUGUUUUGCCGACCCUUGUGAAUCCUAAUUACGCCAUCAACUUAAACUAUUUGACCUGUGGAUAUAUUGAACCUGCCUCUGUUUCAUAUAAAAGUACUUUGAGUUCAAUAAACCAGAAAGCCUUCAGCAAUAUUUUUAACAAUCAUGAUCAGAUACUCACAUUUUUUUUACACUCAAGAACCACAGCAAUGCAAACAAUUUUUUUUAUCUGUAUUUUUGUUUACAUUUAUGAACAGGAUAGAGACAUAAAAAUAACAAACAUUACAAACAGGUGUGUUGCACAGUGGGAGGUGGACAGAAAUAGAACUUGCCGCUCAAAUGUAUUAUGUAAUAUUUGAACCUCCAUCACCCACCCUCAGUCAAGGUGAAUGCGUCCACUCUGCGUUCUGGGUUAAAUCUCAGCCUGUGCAUGUCUCAUGGUGGAACCAUGAAUUUCACAGCUUUAAAUUAAAUCCUCUGCCUCACACUGUUGGCCUUUGUUCUUCCACAUUAAUUUAGUAUGAGAUGUUGUGGGUUAGCUACAUUCCUGACAUAGCUAAUACCACAAACAGGAGAAAACAAAACUAGGAGGUUACAGACUGCACACAGCGCCUAUCAAAGAAAAAAAUUACAAAUAUUUAACACCUUCUGCUAAUGAUUCCUUUGAUUAUUAUUGUGAAGUGGGCAUUUAGGACAAUCAACUCAGCAAUUAAAGUUAUAGAUUCAUCUAUGUUCAUGGACAUAAUAUUUUUCUACAUUCUAACAUGAGAACAUUAGAAUAUACUACAUAUACCGCUGUUGAAUUCUUCAUUCUGUUUGGUUGAUUAAUUUUCUAUAACAGCAGCUCUGGCAGUAUUGCUGGUAAUUGCUGUAAUUCAAAUCACAGGUGUAUAUUAAAGCACAAUUUCUAACAUGUUAUCAUUUCUGUAGUAAUUCAUUCAUAGAGACUUGUAUGGCAAAAACUCUGCAUAAUCUAAGGCUAACAAAAAAUAGAUUUAAAAAGUGGUAUUUAACAAAGAAAAACAUAAAGGAUAAUCAUUGACAUGGUGAAGCUUUUGUAAAAAGACAAUUAUAUAACUUAGGAGUCUCUAGUGUCAGCGCUUUGGAAUGGUUUUCCACCAUGAGAAAGUCUUCAGGACAAAGGCCUUUCCAGUGCGCCUGUAACGUGACGGUUCUCUGUGGUUGCUGUUGAUAAUGUUGUUGUUGUUGUUGUUGUAGUAACCUAAGUGAUAACAAGAAGUAACUCAAGAUAUUCCAUAGCAUUAAAUGUAACUACUGUAUAAAUUGUAAACAAGCUCGACAUAUUUAUUAAUAAUUUUUUCUUAUUACUUUAUCAUUGGCAGUUUGCUGUGGUAUAAGAGGAAACAUGAUGGAGAACACUGUUUUUUGGAGUGUAAUGUGUUAUUUAAAUGUAACUGUGUGAACGGCUGUAUAUUUUGGGGAAUUUUUGUUUGUUUGUUUUACAACAGCAGUUGUCAUUUUGCUUACAUUUGUGUUGUGUAGCUUGGUUAGCUUAUUUUGCUACUAGCUAGGUAAAGCUAUUUAUAGGAUUUAUUUUUGUUAUUGUUACUAUCAAUACAAAAUACAACUAGUUCCCUAUUUAAUAUUUAAAGCUAUUUAGAAUGAAUUAGAUGGAAUUUUGCUAAAACCUUAUAAAACAUGUAUUAUAGGUAGUUCGCAAUCGAAGUGUAUAAUACACACUAUGAUACAGGAGAUAUUGGUAAGGUGAGUUCAAAAAAUUAUAUUUCACCAGAUCAGUAAAAUAGUCUCUUGAAGCUACAUAUGCAAACAAUAAAUGGAUGUCUAACAUCAAAUGUCUGCUUACAUAAACCAGAUUUAUGAAUGUUACCAGCCACGUGAAUCAUACGUGAAGGUGUGUGAAAGUCACUGGAAACCAGAAAUGAGGGUCAGCGGAUAAGGAUAAUACAGGACUGUGUGUUUGUAGUUAGGAUGUACGUGCCACUUAGGUAGAAACGAGCCGCGCUUUGUUGAAAUCCUCAACACGAAAUAGAGUAGGACUUGCCUGACUCUGACUCUGUGUGUUUGCACAGCAUGGUACUUGCAAACCUUGCAUGUUCUUACUUUUAUCCCACUGUGAAGGAAAUUUAUUUGAUGCUUUUCCACAAUUCUUUACGUGAGACUCUAUAAAUCCACCAAGUAUAAUGUUUGCUUCAGGCCUCUGUGCUUUAGGCCCAAUAAACAAAUUAACAUUAAAUAACAAAGAAACCUUGACUUUUAACACAUUUAUAAGCCUUGCAUGAGCUUGGGCUAUGAGCCAAAACUCCAUCACAUAUACACGUAUAUACACAUGUACAGUAUAUACACUCAGUGACAUCAGGCCCUUCCUGAUGUAAAUUCCUUUUUUCACUACAGGAUGCACCUGCCUGAUCCAAGCAUAAAAGAUCUAACAAGGUUCGCUCUUUGUAAACCACCCAUCAUUUUCCACAAUGGGUUGAUGUCAAGCAUUCCAGGGCUAUAUUUAUGCAAGGGGCACACAUUUAUUAUAGCAAAAAUGACUAUAGUGAAUAGAGUAUGCUGACAUGAGUUAUCACUCAGAAAUACGCCAAUAGACCAGUUUUGAUUUUUAUCUCACACCCAUGGAAAAGAAAAUUGUUCUGCACGGUCUUUCACAGUGAUGUUUGUUGGUAAAUGAGACCUUUUAGCUGUACGACGCACGUGACUCGAAGAGAGCUUUGACUGAAUGCAUGUUGUGAUGAUGUCACAUGACACAUCUUGACCUAAAUCUGUGGAAAAUCUGCAGUAAUUUUGAAAAAUGGCAAGCUCCUUUGUAUAAUGCAUUUACUUGCGUUAAUUUCUGUAAUCACAAAAUUGCGAAAUCCUGGAGGGACUGAUAUAGUUAAGUAUGUUUUAUGUAUAUAGUUGAGUACCUUUAGUUAAGUAGUUAAAUAUGUGGUUAAAUACUAGUUAACUAUAUUUAUUAAGGAUGGCACUGAAAGGUUUCAGACAAAAAUGGUCAAAAUUGUUGUAAGGGAGCAGAUCUUUGCACCUCAACAGUUUUGCGCUCAAGUCUCCAUCAGUGAACAGUGGAGAAGUUCAACAAAACAGACUUCAUGUAAACCUUUAAUGAAUUUUCCUGGCUCCACAACUACACUAUUUGAACAUGUAUUAGCUUAGACUUUUUUAUAAUUAUACUACUUGUUGUUACCCAGAUGAGGAUGGGUUCCCUUCUGAGUCUGUUUCCUCAAUGUUUCUUCCUCAUAUCGUCUCAGGGAGUUUUUCCUCACCACCGUCGCUUCUGGCUUGCACAUUAGGGACAAAUUCAUAAAUUAAAAAUGUAUAUUCUGAAUUUAUGUUUCUGUAAAGCUGCUUUGGGACAAUGUCCAUUGUUUAAAGUGCUAUACAAAUAGAAUUUAAUUGAAUUGAAAAAUAGCACUUUCAAAAACAGGUCAAAAUAUUUUGAGGAAAAUUUUAUAGCAAAGUAGCAAAUCUAACACCUCAAAUCAUUUUAAUGACGAUUAAAAAGUGAUUUAUUUCCUUUGCACAUCUGCACCGGUCAGCAGAGUCACCGUCCACAAAAAUGAAAAUAUUGUCUGCAUUUCACAAAUACAACAAGGGAUAUUAGUCGUUUUGCAUAAAUUGCUUGUCUAUGUCAACAAUGUAGUGUGGUAUGUUUUUUACUGUUUUCUACAUUUUUCCUUUCCCUCCUCUCCCAUCCUGGGACUAGGCAUUAUUACUGGCAUGCCAGUUAUAGCUAUUUAAAAGGCCUAGCAGCAAAUAACUCUUUACUUGCAUGCAAGGCAGACCGCAGUCUGUCUAGUCCUGAUAUCCAGAACAGCUCACCAC